CCUACGGGUGGCAGCAGUGAGGAAUAUUGGUCAAUGGCCGGAAGGCUGAACCAGCCAUGCCGCGUGAAGGUCAGUGCCCUAUGGGCGUUAAACUUCUUUUGUGCGGGAGCAAUAAUGGUCACGUGUGGCCAGACGAGAGUACCGUACGAAUAAGCAUCGGCUAACUCCGUGCCAGCAGCCGCGGUAAUACGGGGGAUGCAAGCGUUAUCCGGAUUUAUUGGGUUUAAAGGGUGCGCAGGCGGUCUGUUAAGUCAGCGGUCAAAGCCCGGGGCUCAACCCCGGCCCGCCGUUGAAACUGGCAGUCUCGAGUUGGAGAGAAGUAUGCGGAAUGCGCGGUGUAGCGGUGAAAUGCAUAGAUAUCGCGCAGAACUCCGAUUGCGAAGGCAGCAUGCCGGCUCCACACUGACGCUGAGGCACGAAAGCGUGGGUAUCGAACAGGAUUAGAUACCCCAGUAGUC
rnacentral:rRNA from 1 species